rnacentral:rRNA from 1 species
ACGGAGGGUGCAAGCGUUAAUCGGAAUUACUGGGCGUAAAGCGCACGUAGGUGGUUUGUUAAGCUAGCUGUGAAAUCCCCGGGCUCAACCUGGGCACUGCAGUUAGAACCGGCAAGCUAGAGUAGGGUAGAGGGGUGUGGAAUUCCAGGUGUAGCGGUGAAAUGCGUAGAUAUCAGGAGGAACACCGGUGGCGAAGGCGGCUUUCUGGACACUAACUGACGCUGAGACGCGAAAGCGUGGGGAGCAAACAGGA